GUUCAAAUGACCUCAACCUAUAUAUUUGUCCUUGAUUCUAAUUUGUUAAAGUAUAUCAUAAAGGCCCUCCAACUCUUGAUAAUUUCACAACCUUACCCCAACCUUUGCUUUUUUGGUCAACAGAUUCUCCUGGGAUUAGGGAUUUGGCAGUGGCUGCGGCUGCGGCGGGCGGUUUUUAUCUUCUCCACAAACAUUACCAUAACGCCCAUCAGUCUAUCUCUGAACAGACAAAUGGCUUCUAUGAAUCUCUGAAUGGAUGUAUAUCUGCUCUGGAAAAGUUGAAAGAAGUUGAUGCUGCUAAACACUUGGAAGCUGCUGAGUAAAAAGUCCGAAUGGUGCCCAGUGGUUGCUUGUCCUGUUCAAAGUGCAAUUUAGGUUCUUAGGUCUAAAUGGUGUCCCUGAUUGCAUCCUAAUGUAUAUUUUUGUUUUUGCUGAAGUUUACUGACUAUCUUUUGGUUGGAAGAUAUAUUUUUGUUUUUGCUGAAGUUCACUGACUAUCUUUUGCUUGGAAGUUGGUAUUAAUGUGAUAGUUGAUGCGGCAUCAGGAUUCUCAGCUUAUGUGAUGCGCAGUUGACUUUCUAUUAACAAAUUUUAUAACAACGUUAAGUUUGGACAA